GCUAUUCACUGGUUACCCACAACAAGCUUGUUUUUUGCACCUCUCCAGAUUUUCUGAAGGAAGAGAAACUACUACAUUUUAAAACAAGCCAGAAUAUUUACCACUGAUCAUUUGUAUUAACUACUCGUCCUUCAAACUUCAGAUUCCUGAGCUCAAUUGGGAUUGAAGGUAUGGUGGAAAGGGAGGAGAUUUGGACGGUAAAGGAAGAGGAUGAAAACAAUUUCUCAGAGUUAUGGUGAGCUAGGCACAGGCGUGGUGCUCUACACAAGGUGUGCAAAGGCUGGGAGAGCAGCUCACCCUGCCCAAGCCUCCUUAGCAGCAAUAUCCAUCCCCAGCUGGCCUCUCAGCACGCGGGCUCAGGAGCUCAGCUCUUCCUGGAUGUUGGUUACACCGAGGAAAUUCCUGGCCAAGCACCAUGGUCGCCAGCCAAGGUCUGUGCAGGAAUCUGUACUGCAGCAGAUACUCCUCCUAAUUGUUACCUAGGAAGGGAAGAGUGAGAGAUCAUCUUUGUUUUUUCGUAGAGACUGAAUGUAUCUGAAGAGUUGACAUUAUUGCCAUUGGAGUUAUUGGUUUUACAAGAAACUGUGAACAAACCUUAUUAAUUUUUAUAUUUUGCUUUCUAUAUUUUAUGAUGAAGUGAGCUGUAUUUGUUGGAAAAAACAUACUCAGUAAAUAUACAUAAGCUCUAAUAAUUACA